UACGGGGGGGGGGCAAGCGUUGUUCGGAAUUACUGGGCGUAAAGGGCUCGUAGGCGGCCAACUAAGUCAGACGUGAAAUCCCUCGGCUUAACCGGGGAACUGCGUCUGAUACUGGAUGGCUUGAGUUUGGGAGAGGGAUGCGGAAUUCCAGGUGUAGCGGUGAAAUGCGUAGAUAUCUGGAGGAACACCGGUGGCGAAGGCGGCAUCCUGGACCAAUACUGACACUGAAAAGCGAAAGCCAGGGGAGCAAACGGG
rnacentral:rRNA from 1 species